GACGAACGCUGGCGGCGUGCUUAACACAUGCAAGUCGAGCGGAAAGGCCCUGCUUUUGUGGGGUGCUCGAGUGGCGAACGGGUGAGUAACACGUGAGUAACCUGCCCUUGACUUUGGGAUAACUUCAGGAAACUGGGGCUAAUACCGGAUAGGAGCUCCUGCUGCAUGGUGGGGGUUGGAAAGUUUCGGCGGUUGGGGAUGGACUCGCGGCUUAUCAGCUUGUUGGUGGGGUAGUGGCUUACCAAGGCUUUGACGGGUAGCCGGCCUGAGAGGGUGACCGGCCACAUUGGGACUGAGAUACGGCCCAGACUCCUACGGGAGGCAGCAGUGGGGAAUAUUGCACAAUGGGCGGAAGCCUGAUGCAGCAACGCCGCGUGCGGGAUGACGGCCUUCGGGUUGUAAACCGCUUUCGCCUGUGACGAAGCGUGAGUGACGGUAAUGGGUAAAGAAGCACCGGCUAACUACGCGCCAGCAGCCGCGGUAACAC
rnacentral:rRNA from 1 species